CUCAAAAAAGAGAAAAGAUAGGGAUAGCGGAGAUGCAGUUUGUACAAAUAUAGCCGGUUGCAUCCGGUAGCAGGUAAACAAGGCCACAAAGAGAACCAAGUUGCAGUAAUAACUCAGUUCAGACUUCAGACUCAGAGAGAGUAUUUCUCUCAGAGCCUCCGCUCCGUCUGGUCUUAAGUGAUAGCUGGCCGUUUUUUCGUCAGACAGAGAGAAAGAAAGGUAUGAAGAGGGGUGGCGGAGGCUCUGAGAUAGCGGAGGCAUCAAAGUCGUUUCUAGUUCCGUCCUUUUCACGAAUUGCAGAAAUCAAAGUCCUAUUUCCGCCAUUAGAGCUCUGAAUAUUCUGGGCGGGAACAUCUGAACGCGUAGCUUAUGGAGGUAUUAAAGAGUAUGCACGAAUGGUAGUGUAUUACCACUCGACCUUUGAAACUGAAAGGACUGAAUCUUGGAUUUGGAGGGUUUGGUUUGCAGAUAUAACGAUCGCACAGCUCGGCGGUGGAUCGCUUCACGAACCAGAAGACGAGGACACCACCGGCACGCCGAGCACUAAGCAAGCCAUUAAAGCUCUCACCGCCCAGACGGAAACUUUUCAGAUCAAGGACAUGGCUUUGAAGGCCUCGGGAGCUUAUCGACAUUGCAAGCCAUGUUCAGGAUCGUCGGGAAAUCAUCACCACCAGAACUACGCUGAGUCCGACGCGGCCUCGGUAUCGGAGAGAUUUCACUGCUCGUACCGUCGGACGGGAACUUUUAGCUCGAGCUCAACGCCGAGAAUAUGGGGGAAAGAGAUGGAAAACAGAUUAAAAGGGCUUUCAAGUGGCGAAGGGACCCCGCCAUCAAUGAGCGGCCGAACUGAAUCAGUUAUUUUCAUGGAGGAAGAAGAGCCCAAGGAGUGGGUGGCACAGGUUGAGCCCGGUGUUCUCAUUACCUUCCUUUCGCUGCCUCAGGGAGGUAACGAUCUCAAGAGAAUCCGGUUCAGUCGAGAGAUGUUCAACAAAUGGCAAGCUCAGAGGUGGUGGGCUGAAAACUACGACAAGGUCAUGGAACUCUACAAUGUUCAGAGGUUUAACCGUCAAGCUGUCCCACUUCCUACACCCCCUAGAUCUGAAGAUGAGGGUUCAAAAAUUGGAUCUGCUGAGGACAGCCCGGUUACGCCACCAUUAAGUAAAGAACGCUUACCCCGCAAUUUCCACCGGCCCGUAGGAAUGGGGUACUCAUCUUCAGAUUCACUUGAGCACCACCCAAUGCAGAUCCGCCAUUACUACGACUCUGGUGGUCUCACAUCAACACCAAAACUUUCAAGCAUCAGUGGAGCCAAGACUGAAACAUCAUCAAUGGAUGCUUCUGCAAGGUCAAGUUUGUCAAGGGAAGGGGAUCGCUCUGGAGAGCUCUCUGUUAGUAAUGCUAGUGAUCAGGAGACUGAAUGGGUUGAACAGGAUGAACCUGGUGUCUACAUUACCAUCAGAGCACUGCCCGGUGGCACCAGGGAGCUGAGGCGUGUCAGGUUCAGUUCUUGGAAGACAUGAGGCCUUCUGACUGUUAGCUAGUGGUGGUCUUUUUUCACUUCAACCCCUUGCGUAUUUAAGAAAAACGAAUCAUGGGGGUGCCGAAACUUUUAACUGUGCCGUGGUAGAUGUUUGACCUUUAAAUGUCUAGCCUAUCCAUGAGCCGUUUUUCUCGGUCGCUGUGAUUCCUGCCUCAUCACCAACCGGGUCUCAGACUCUCUCAAUUCCAACGAAUAAAUAAUGAUAUCCACGCCGAGAAAGGUUCGGGGAAAUGCACGCAAGGUUGUGGUGGGAAGAGAACCGAGCCAGAAUACAUGAACAGUACUUGUAAUUUGAGGAAAACUA